rnacentral:rRNA from 1 species
GACGAACGCUGGCGGCGCGCUUAACACAUGCAAGUCGAGCGAAGCGGCGGACGGGUGAGUAACACGUGAGUAACCUGCCUUAGACAUUGGGAUAGCCUCGGGAAACCGGGAUUAAUACCAAAUGGUCUAAGAUGGACUCGCGUCCCAUUAGAUAGUUGGUGAGGUACCCGCACCCCAAGGCGACGAUUGGUAGACGGACGUAGAGGGUGAACGGCCACAUUGGAACUGGGAAACGGUCCAAACUCUACGGGAGGCAGCAGAGGGGAAUAUUGCACAAUGGAGGGAACUCUGAUGCAGCGACGCCGCGUGAACGAAGAAGGCUUUCGAGUCGUAAAGUUCUUUUAUAUGGGAAGCGGUACCAUAAGAAAAAGCCCCGGCUAACUACGUGCCAGCCGCCGCGGUAAUAC